GCGCCCGUAGCUCAACUGGAUAGAGCGUCUGACUUCGGAUCAGAAGGNUAGGAGUUCGAAUCUUCUCGGGCGCNCCA
rnacentral:tRNA from 1 species